UUUUCUUAUUUCUACGUGACUUUACCGAAAAAACCAAAGAUCAUUAAACACAAUUGUUAUAUCCUCAUUAUCAUCAUCUCCGCCACCACCGCCAUCGUCAUGAACCCCAACUGUAGCAGCAUCGUCACGAUGUUUGAACGCAGAUUUGGCAUUGAGCUGUGCCACGUGGCUUUCCCGUGUGGGGCGGAGCGUCUCCGCCGGUCAGCAGAUGCCCACCACCAGGCACGAGCAUCACCCAGCUCAGACCUCUCUCUCCCUGCUCCUCCUCCUGCUCCGUGAGGUUGCCAACUCUCACUGAAGCUAUCCCGGGAGAUUUGUAUUAUUACAUUAUAUUUCUUAAGGUGUUCAUGGCCGGCCUCCGCGCGAGCACCAUCGAUGAGACCCCAUCUGCUGCGUAACAAACGCGUACAACUACCACCAUCUACGACUAACAGGCGAGGGUCACCACCUCUCAUGUACACAACAACCGGGAGAUGUCGUGAGGAGAGAAAUCAUCUCGCGACACUGGAAGAGCUAGAGGGUGUAAACAUCAGCACUGACAGAGCAAGCCAGCUGGACAUGGCAUUAGCCACAAACGGCCAAAGCAGAAACAGGUGAGCUCAUCUGCAACACUUUCCAAGACAGCCUGACGGAUAAAAAAGGAUAGUUGGCCUUUGUGUGUAUGCAUAACAAAAUGCGUAUGUAACUGCCAAUGACUUGCCUUGCACAUUGAACAAUUGGCAUGCAACUGUGUUGUGCAUGUAAACUGGGAGCCCAGGACAUCUCUCACAACUUGCUCGCAUAAUAAUUUUAUACGCCCGUGUAGGUUUCUGCGGCUGCGCUCUGAAGUCCUUAGAAGUGCUUUUUGGUUGUGCCGGAUGUUGUUCCUGCUCCCAGCACGUUCAGCGAAACGUCGUACAUCAUGCCAAACAACACGUGGUUAUGCGCAUUUUCUGCCCCUUCCAUACAUGACUGUCGCGGGUAAACGCCUCACCCGUUGCGUCUAUGCGAACAGAACUCUGCCUUGCCGUUCUAAGUUUUGGUCAGUGGCAACAACGGAAGGUAACGAGAAAAGGAAGGUUAAUUGACAAUAAUUAGGAAUGGCCUCCCGUGUGUAAUCACGGGUCUGAUGUGAGAUCUAAAAAGGGGUCGCAUGGCUCAUUAGCAGCAGCAGCAGCAGCAGGAGACGGCUGUGCUGGAACGUUCCGACAAAUUCCUCGUUAGAAAAAGGGCUCCUCAAAAAAUACAAUAAAACACCACUUUUAGUAAGGAAUGGGAGCAUCAACAGAUUGUUUCCCCCCCCCACGCUGAAUUUACAUCAUUAAUUAGUUUCCUCUGUGUGUGUGUUGACUCUAAGUGGAUGAUUUACCAUGCAUGAACCAGGUGCAUGCUGGGAGUUGGCGCAAGACCUUUGUUUGCACUUGCGUGGCAUUUCGCCUCGCCGUGAAUCUCAACCCACACAAAUCUCUCCACUACGAACAGAAUCACCCACCGAUUAGACGAUUUCAAAUAAAUAAUGGUGAUUAACUUCUUUGUGUUGUUAAAAAUAUAUUUAUUUAUUGUUUGACAGCACAUUAGCUUACUUGGCUCAGGUGAGCUGCAGGGCUCACAUUUAGAAGAUUGUGUCGUCAUCCCCAUCAUGAUCAUCAUCAUCACCAGGCAUGCUACAAUUAAAUAAUGGAUUUUUACACUGGCAAUCCCUGCAUAUAAUUGUACGUGAAAUUGAGUGAUAUAUCUGUAAUUUAUGAAAAUUAUUUGCAAAUUAUGCGAUGGUUUUACUUUAAGGAUAGUGGGUUAGGCAAAACUAUAAAAACGAAAGAGAGUAAAUGAGAAACGACACGAACGAAAUGGUAAAAAUUAGACUUUCGAACAUUUAAUUGUGAAACAAAUUGUAACUAUUCAUAGACUCAUUCAAGUUGAAGUGAACGAUUUCCUGUCCAAAUUAGCAUUGAGUCGGUGCUCAUUUCCUGUCUACGGCUGUUUGCGGCCCUGAGCUAGUGGUGUAAACUCCACAUUCCUAUGGCGAGGGUAAACAACCAUUAUUGACUUCCCCACAAAUUGGUACUCUUUUAUCGUCCCUAGACGGUUGACGGACUGAGUCACUAAUCAACCAGGAUUGCGAGCUGCUCACUCUUCCGCUGAGCCACCUGGCCAGUUAAAAAAUAUAUAUACGUAAUCAGGGUCAUAAAUCAUUGUAUCGAUAAAAAAUAAUAUUAAUAAUCACCAUCAUAAUCCCAGUGAUCACCAUCACUGCACGACCCUACUCCCCAGUACAGAUACAACUUAUUAAAUCCAGCAGGAUGCGAUUGAAGUAGACUCUGAAAUUCCAUAAGAUACAUUUUAUUUAAGCAAAUAUGCGUGUCCCAGUGAGAUUGCAAAUUUAGGGGCAUGGCUGCUGGUUGCUCAGGAUUGCAUCAUCAGUAUCCACUGCACCAGCCAAUCAGCUCCCGGUAAGAUAUCCCCAUGCAACAUGGCCCAGAGGUAGUGCGUUCGCCUCUUGUUGCAGAGGUUCACGGUUCAAAUCCAGCAGCCGCCCGGAUUAUUACUGCGGAUACAAUAAGAAUAAUCAUACUUGUCGUCCUCUUCACAGGGGAUGUUAAUGAUUCCCUGACGUAAUUUGGAAGAGUCCAUGGUGGCUAGGAGAUGUUAACUACCUCGUCUGGUAUGCAGGAGUUCGUGGGUUCGAUCCUGACUCUAAUGCCUCUAUAUUUAGAGUUUGCAUGUUUCUCUGCCCCUUGUCCCGUGGCUUUUUUUUCCAGGAACCUCCAAUUUCCC